AGUGAACGCUGGCGGCGUGCUUAACACAUGCAAGUCGAACGAGAACGGAUUAUAGCUUGCUAUAAUUGUCAGCUAAGUGGCGCACGGGUGAGUAAUGUAUAGGUAAUAUGCCUCUUACUAAGGGAUAACAAAUGGAAACGUUUGCUAAUACCUUAUACUCCUUAUUAACAGAAGUUAAUAAGGGAAAGAUUUAUUGGUAAGAGAUUAGCCUGUAUUGUAUCAGUUAGUUGGUGGGGUAAUGGCUUACCAAGACUAUGACACAUAACUGGUCUGAGAGGAUGAUCAGUCACACUGGAACCGAGACACGGUCCAGACUCCUACGGGAGGCAGCAGUGGGGAAUAUUGCACAAUGGACGAAAGUCUGAUGCAGCAACGCCGCGUGGAGGAUGACACAUUUCGGUGCGUAAACUCCUUUUAUCUGAGAAGAUAAUGACGGUAUUAUAUGAAUAAGCACCGGCUAACUCCGUGCCAGCAGCCGCAGUAA
rnacentral:rRNA from 1 species